GUCUGGAGAUUCCGCCUUCUGGUGUUUUGUGGUGAGCCCAACUAAGGAGACCUUCAGGAACACCUAUGUCUCCCUGCUGAUUAGCAACUCAAGCUGUUUUUACUCUGUUCUUGAUCUGCUGAUGUCAACUGGAAACUUGCCAUUGAUUUCAGUGGCCAUAGCAAAUGUCUUAAGGAAAAAGGAAAAAAAAAUUGCUGCAUUAGCAUAAUUCAAAGAAAAAGUAAAGCAAAAUCAACAGCUCUGCCUGAAUCUCCUGUCCUCAUGAAAUGAACUGACUGCCCCCUGACAGUUCAUGCUGCUGAAGACAGAACUCUCAUUUCCUGUAGCAGUGGAUAUGUUCAUUCCUGGAAGGAAAUAGGAGGAUCUGUGGUUCUUCUCUGAUCUGUUUGACUGCAGUGGUGUAGAUUUAAAGUCACGGCACAUCCUCUCCCUUAGCAUCAAUACUACCAGGUGGAGAAUAUAAUUCCAUUGCAGAGCAAAGGAGAAGGCAACAAGAGGUCUUCAGAGAAGGAUAAAAACAUCUCUUUCAGUCAGCUCUGACUGCUAAUCUCUGUAAUAUAAUUUCUGCGGUCUGCCUGCAGCAGUUGGUGGCGAUCCAGUGAAUAGCUUUGCCAUUUCUCCAGCAGCUUUAACAUGGGUGGCCACAAGAGAUAAGUGCACAGGGUGCAGGCUGGCACCCAAGCAGCAGUGGGGAGCACAGGGGAAGAGGAAGGCAGGACCCCCAAGGCCCUGCAGAUGGAGUGAUUUGGACCAGUGGUUGUUUCUGGGCAGCUCCACAAAUGAUACAAAUUAUGAGAACUUGAGUCUCCCCAGUCAGAUUUUCAGACUGAAGCUUUCCUCAUUGUGUACUCACGUAAAACCUGAAGUGAAGCUGAUUAGAAACAAGGGAGAGCUGUCAAGUGAGUUCAGACGGUUUCAUGUCAGCUCCUAACAAAGCACAAACAACCUCUUCUGCGUCAACAAAAAAACACUAAGUUUUAUGCCUGAGCAAACAGCUUCCUAUGGUCUGUGGAGCAAUGACACGUACCCAUUAAUAUCCAGAGAGGCAUAAACUACCUGAACGACCCCAUCACAAAGGCUGAAUUCCUCCAAUAACACCCUCUGCAAGCAGGGGAGUGGCUGCAGGCCACCAAUACGCUUUGCAGUGCAUGUUAUGGACUGAAAGGUGUGCUACCCCAACGGAGGGAAGGGCAAGGAACCCUGCCAAGUAUUCUGCCCACGUACCAGAUAGUUUGUUAAAAAUCAACCAGAAGUGUCAUGGAUUGCAGUGCUUCUAGAAAACGGGACCACAGGCACAAUAAUGAACACUCAAAGUGCAUUCAGUGCGUCUAGUUUCUCGAUAGUCUUAAUUAUCAGCAUAAAUUACAGCUAACUCCUAAUUUUCUGUGAAGUCAUGACAGUUAUCAAGUAAUUGGGUGUCCUAGGCAGAGGCAGCAUGGCUCCAGCAGGCUGCAGAAUCUUGGGCAGAGCUCUCAGGUGCUCACAUUGCAAAAGCCUUACUGCCUGCUGCUGUUUGUGAGGCACUGCAGCCAGACAAACCCCCAGCUGACACAGCUCUGCAGUGCUCCUGCUGGCAUCUGCUGCAGAAUAAAUAUUGCCUGGGAUUUUCCAUCAUCCAGCAAUGACAGUGGUGACGCUGUUUAGAACUCUAUGUAUUUGCAGCCUCCCACAGCCAUCCAGAAUUAGCAGGGCAGUUUGACUCAUUUACCUAAACAGAUACAUUUGCUGAUACUUAAGAAAGCCAAGAGCAUCCAUACAAGGUAUUUGCAUGGGCCUGGCAGAGUUGACAAAGGAUCUGGGACAGACUUCUCUUCUUCUAGAGCAACAGAUGGGAGACAAGUGGAUUGCACCAAAUCUUGCAUGGCACUGGUCUCUAUUUUCAGGCAAAUAAAUGGGCUGGGAGUCAGCUCACAGCUGAAGCCAUCUGAGAAUAGGUGCCUGCGUAUGCCCUGGGCACCAGGGAUCCCAUCACAGUUAAUUGAGUUGUCUGAAGAUGAGAGAAUUAUUCAGCUGGCUAAUAGGUGUCUGCUCCAGGAUGAGCUUUCUGAGGUCCUCGGGAAAUAUCAGCUCUGGUCACAGAAUGGGAGCUUAGUUAGUCAGCUCCCACAUAUGUACAUGCAUACUUAUGUAGGGCUGUGAUAACACACUGUACUUGGUGUGCUUCUUCUGCCAAAGCUCUCGA